GCUGGCGGCGCGCCUAACACAUGCAGUCGAACGAGAAAGUGGAGCAUCCAUGAGUACAGUGGCGUACGGGUGAGUAACACGUGGGUGAUCUACCUCUUAGUGAGGAAUAACCCUGGGAAACCGGGGCUAAUACCGCAUAAGCCUUAGCAGGGAAAGUCGAAAGACGCUGAGAGAGGAGCCCGCGGCCGAUUAGCUAGUUGGUGAGGUAAGAGCCCACCAAGGCAGAGAUCGGUAGCCGGCCUGAGAGGGCACACGGCCACACUGGCACUGAAACACGGGCCAGACUCCUACGGGAGGCAGCAGUGGGGAAUCUUGCACAAUGGGGGAAACCCUGAUGCAGCGACGCCGCGUGAGCGAUGAAGCCCUUCGGGGUGUAAAGCUCUUUCGGCAGGGAAGAUAGUGACGGUACCUGCAGAAGCAGCUGCGGCUAACUACGUGCCAGCAGCCGCGGUAAUACGUAGGCAGCAAGCGUUGUUCGGAGUUACUGGGCGUAAAGGGUGUGUAGGCGGUUCUUUAAGUUUGGUGUGAAAUCUCCCGGCUCAACCGGGAGGGUGCGCCGAAUACUGAGGGACUA
rnacentral:rRNA from 1 species